GAUGAACGCUGGCGGCGUGCUUAACACAUGCAAGUCGAACGAAGCACUUUAUUUGAUUUCCUUCGGGACUGAUUAUUUUGUGACUGAGUGGCGGACGGGUGAGUAACGCGUGGGUAACCUGCCUUGUACAGGGGGAUAACAGUUGGAAACGGCUGCUAAUACCGCAUAAGCGCACGGCAUCGCAUGAUGCAGUGUGAAAAACUCCGGUGGUAUAAGAUGGACCCGCGUUGGAUUAGCUAGUUGGUGAGGUAACGGCCCACCAAGGCGACGAUCCAUAGCCGACCAGAGAGGGUGACCGGCCACAUUGGGACUGAGACACGGCCCAAACUCCUACGGGAGGCAGCGGUAGAGAAUAUUGCACAAUGGGCGAAAGCCUGAUGCAGCGACGCCGCGUGAGCGAAGAAGUAUUUCGGUAUGUAAAGCUGUAUCAGCAGGGAAGAUAAUGACGGUACCUGACGAAGAAGCACCGGCUAAAUACGUG
rnacentral:rRNA from 1 species